CAAUAGCGUAUAUUAAAGUUGUUGCGGUUAAAAAGCUCGUAGUUGGAUUUCUGCUGAGGACGACUGGUCCGCCCCUGGUGGAGUAUCUGGUUCGGUCCGUGGCCGAUCUUCUUGGGGUAACUGGAUAUCUGCACUUGAUUGUGUGGUGCGGUAUCCAGGACUUUACUUUGAGGAAAUUAGAGUGUUUCAAGCAGGCCCGCGCCUUGAAUACAUUAGCAUGGAAUAAUGAUCUAGGACUUCGGUUCUAUUUUGUUGGUUUCUAGUACUGAAGUAAUGAUUGAUAGGGAUAGUUGGGGGUGCUAGUAUUGGCCGGCCAGAGGUGAAAUUCUUGGAUUCGGUCAAGACUAACUUAUGCGAAAGCAUUCACCAAGGAUGUCUUCUUUAAUCAAGAACGAAAGUUGGGGGAUCGAAGACGAUCAGAUACCG
rnacentral:rRNA from 1 species